rnacentral:rRNA from 1 species
GUCUUUUUGUAAAAAUUGAAAGUCUAAUCUGCUCACUGAAUAUUAAAGAGCCGCAGUAUUUUGACUGUGCAAAGGUAGCAUAAUCAAUAGUUUUUUAAUUGGGAACUUGUAUGAAGGAUUGAAUGAAAAUUAUAUUUUCUUUGUUUUAAUAAAUUGAAUUUUAAUUUUAAGUGAAAAUGCUUAAAUAUUUUUAAAAGACGAGAAGACCCUAUAGAUUUUAAUUAUUUAAUUAAAUUUUAUAAUAUUAUUUAUUAGGAUAAUUUGAUUGGGGCGAUUUUGUAAAAUAAAAAACUUAAAUUUUGUAAUACCAUAAAUAAUUGAACUUUUUGAUCUUAAUUUUUAAAAUAUGAGGAUAAAUUACCUUAGGGAUAACAGCGUAAUUUUAUUUAAGAGUUCAUAUCUAUAAUAAAGCUUGCGACCUCGAUGUUGAAUUAAGAUUAUAUAUUGGAGUAGAAAUUAAUAUAAUUAGUCUGUUCGACUAUUAAAUUCU